ACAGGGAUUGCCCUAGUAACGGCGAGUGAAGCGGCAACAGCUCAAAUUUGAAAUCUGGCUCUUUCAGAGUCCGAGUUGUAAUUUGCAGAGGGCGCUUUGGCUUUGGCAGCGGUCCAAGUUCCUUGGAACAGGACGUCACAGAGGGUGAGAAUCCCGUACGUGGUCGCUAGCUAUUGCCGUGUAAAGCCCCUUCGACGAGUCGAGUUGUUUGGGAAUGCAGCUCUAAAUGGGAGGUAAAUUUCUUCUAAAGCUAAAUAUUGGCCAGAGACCGAUAGCGCACAAGUAGAGUGAUCGAAAGAUGAAAAGCACUUUGGAAAGAGAGUCAAACAGCACGUGAAAUUGUUGAAAGGGAAGCGCUUGCAGCCAGACUUGCUUGCAGUUGCUCAUCCGGGCUUUUGCCCGGUGCACUCUUCUGCAGGCAGGCCAGCAUCAGUUUGGGCGGUGGGAUAAAGGUCUCUGACACGUUCCUUCCUUCGGGUUGGCCAUAUAGGGGAGACGUCAUACCACCAGCCUGGACUGAGGUCCGCGCAUCUGCUAGGAUGCUGGCGUAAUGGCUGUAAGCGGCCCGUCUUGAAACACGGACCAAGGAGUCUAACAUCUAUGCGAGUGUUUGGGUGUCAAGCCCGAGCGCGUAAUGAAAGUGAACGGAGGUGGGAACCCGCAAGGGCGCACCAUCGACCGAUCCUGAAGUUUACGGAAGGAUUUGAGUAAGAGCAUGGCUGUUGGGACCCGAAAGAUGGUGAACUAUGCUUGAAUAGGGUGAAGCCAGAGGAAACUCUGGUGGAGGCUCGCAGCGGUUCUGACGUGCAAAUCGAUCGUCAAAUUUGGGCAUAGGGGCGAAAGACUAAU
rnacentral:rRNA from 1 species